rnacentral:misc_RNA from 1 species
AUGCGAUAAGUAAUGUGAAUUGCAGAAUUCAGUGAAUCAUCGAAUUUUUGAACGCACCUUGCACUCCUUGGUAUUCCGAGGAGUAUGCCUGUUUGAGUGUCAUUAAAUUCUCAACCCCAUCAGUUUUGUCACAAAGGCUGAUUGAGGCUUGGACAUGGGGGUGUGCAGGUCCAAUUUCUUGGUCUGCUCCCCUGAAAUCUAUUAGCAGGAUCAAGCUUCCUGUCUAUUGGUGUGAUAACUAUCUACACCGUGGACUUGAUGCAUCCAUUGUUCCGCUUCUAACCGUCCCAUCCGGACAACCUUGACAUUUUUGACCUCAAAUCAGGUAAGACUACCCGCUGAACUUAA